rnacentral:rRNA from 1 species
GGUGGGUACGGGCAGGCUAGAGUGUGGUAGGGGAGACUGGAACUCCUGGUGUAGCGGUGAAAUGCGCAGAUAUCAGGAAGAACACCGAUGGCGAAGGCAGGUCUCUGGGCCAUUACUGACACUGAGAAGCGAAAGCAUGGGGAGCGAACAGGAUUAGAUACCCUGGUAGUCCAUGCCGUAAACGUUGGGCACUAGAUGUGGGGAACAUUCCACGUUUUCCGCGUCGUAGCUAACGCAUUAAGUGCCCCGCCUGGGGAGUACGGCCGCAAGGCUAAAACUCAAAGGAAUUGACGGGGGCCCGCACAAGCGGCGGAGCAUGCGGAUUAAUUCGAUGCAACGCGAAGAACCUUACCAAGGCUUGACAUGCACCGGGCGACUCCAGAGAUGGGGUUUUCUUCGGACUGGUGCACAGGUGGUGCAUGGUUGUCGUCAGCUCGUGUCGUGAGAUGUUGGGUUAAGUCCCGCAACGAGCGCAACCCUCGUUCCAUGUUGCCAGCGCGUAAUGGCGGGGACUCAUGGGAGACUGCCGGGGUCAACUCGGAGGAAGGUGGGGACGACGUCAAAUCAUCAUGCCCCUUAUGUCUUGGGCUUCACGCAUGCUACAAUGGCCGGUACAAAGGGUUGCGAAACUGUGAGGUGGAGCGAAUCCCAAAAAGCCGGUCUCAGUUCGGAUUGGGGUCUGCAACUCGACCCCAUGAAGUCGGAGUCGCUAGUAAUCGCAGAUCAGCA